rnacentral:rRNA from 1 species
AGAGUUUGAUCCUGGCUCAGAACGAACGCUGGCGGCGUGGAUUAGGCAUGCAAGUCGCACGAUCCUUCGGGAUAGUGGCGUAAGGGUGAGUAACACGUGGGCAAUUUACCUUCGACUUGGGAAUAACCUUGCGAAAGCGGGGCUAAUACCGAAUAAUGUGCUUGAAUUGCAUAUUUUAAGCACCAAAGCCCUUCGGGGCGGUUGAAGAGAAGCCCGCGUCCUAUCAGCUUGUUGGUAAGGUAACGGCUUACCAAGGCGACGACGGGUAGCUGGUCUGAGAGGAUGGUCAGCCACACUGGGACUGAGACACUGCCCAGACUCCUACGGGAGGCUGCAGUCGAGAAUCUUCCCCAAUGGGCGAAAGCCUGAGGGAGCGACGCCGCGUGAGGGAUGAAGGUCUUCGGAUUGUAAACCUCUGUCACCCUGGACGAAUUUGACUGUACGGGGAGAGGAAGCUCCGGCUAACUACGUGCCAGCAGCCGCGGUAAUACGUAGGGAGCAAGCGUUGUUCGGAAUUACUGGGCGUAAAGGGUGUGUAGGUGGGUAUGCAAGCUCUGAGUGAAAUCCUCCGGCUUAACCGGAGAACUGCUUGGAGAACUACAUAUCUUGAGUACAGGGGAAGAGAGUGGAAUUCUCGGUGUAGCGGUGAAAUGCGUAGAUAUCGAGAAGAACACCGGCGGCGAAGGCGGCUCUCUAUCCUGAUACUGACACUGAGACACGAAAGCUAAGGUAGCGAAUGGGAUUAGAUACCCCAGUAGUCUUAGCUGUAAACGAUGGGCACUUGGUGUAGGGAAUUAUAUUUUCUGUGCCGAAGCUAAUGCGAUAAGUGCCCCGCCUGGGGACUACGGCCGCAGGGCUAAAACUCAAAGGAAUUGACGGGGACCCGCACGAGCGGUGGAGCAUGUGGUUUAAUACGACGCUACGCGUAGAACCUUACCAGGGUUUGACAUGCUGGUAGUAAUUCUGAUGAAAGUCGGAAUGAUCCUUUUGGAAGCCAGCACAGGUGUUGCAUGGCUGUCGUCAGCUCGUGCUGUGAAGUGUUGGGUUAAGUCCCGCAACGAGCGCAACCCUUAUCCUUAGUUACCCCGAUUUAUCGGGGAUCUCUAGGGAAACUGCCUCGUAAACGAGGAGGAAGGUGGGGACGACGUCAAGUCAUCAUGGCCCUUACGCCCUGGGCUACACACGUGCUACAAUCUUUGCUACAAUGGGCCGCAAA